CCAAUGAUGGACACAGAACGGAACAGAUGAUGUAAAUAAACGGCCGGCGUGUUUUGACGAGUUUUUGUGUCUACGGUCUUCGGUCGCGGUCGCCUCCGCCAGCUGCUGCAGUCGUUUGCGUCGUUCGUCCCGCGUACCGUUCGUCCGUCGUGCCGUUUGUCCGUCGUGCCGUUUGUCCGUCGUACCGUUUGUCCGUCGUACCGCUAGUGCCGACGUUCCAGACCCACACACUGAUUAACGGUAUCAACGGCAGCGACAAUCACAACAAUAACAAAAAUAACGUUAUGGUCCAUGUGGUUGACAAAAGUGUGGAGCGCCGCCGCUGCCGCCGUCAGAUGACCAUGCGCCGGUCGGGUCGUUGUCUCGGGUUCGCAUUGCGUCAGUGGUGCUAAGUCGAACCGCAGACGACAGUAACGCCGCAACCGUUUGGUAACGUGUACGCGCGCUCUCUCGACCAAAAUAUACCGUCACGCCGAUCGCCGUCGU